GGUUAACGAGGCGAACCGGGGGAACUGAAACAUCUAAGUACCCCGAGGAAAAGAAAUCAACCGAGAUUCCCCCAGUAGCGGCGAGCGAACGGGGAGCAGCCCAGAGUCUGAAUCAGCUUGUGUGUUAGUGGAACGGUCUGGAAAGUCCGACGGUACAGGGUGAUAGUCCCGUACACCAAAAUGCACAGGCUGUGAACUCGAAGAGUAGGGCGGGACACGUGGUAUCCUGUCUGAAUAUGGGGGGACCAUCCUCCAAGGCUAAAUACUCCUGACUGACCGAUAGUGAACCAGUACC
rnacentral:rRNA from 1 species